AAAAAAAAUUUUUUUUCAAGUGUGUGGUUGUUGUAUAUCUUGGCAUUUGUAAGUAAAACAUAUUAUAUAUGUACAUAUGUACACAUAUAGAGAGCUGAAGGAGUUUUUUGCUCUUGCAGACUGGAUUGAAUGACAAAAUGCAUUAGUGGUGCCGACUUUAACGUGAGCAAUCUAACAAUUAUUAUACACAAUAAAAAAGGCAUCGUUGAUUUGCACUACACAAAUAUUAUUGUAUUUUCUCGUAAUAUUAAUAAAAUCACAGUGAAAUAUUACUGCA